GAUGAACGCUGGCGGCGUGCUUAACACAUGCAAGUCGAACGAUGAAGCCCAGCUUGCUGGGUGGAUUAGUGGCGAACGGGUGAGUAACACGUGAGUAACCUGCCCUUGACUCUGGGAUAAGCCUGGGAAACUGGGUCUAAUACUGGAUAUGACUUCUCAUCGCAUGGUGGGGGGUGGAAAGAUUUAUUGGUCUUGGAUGGACUCGCGGCCUAUCAGCUUGUUGGUGAGGUAAUGGCUCACCAAGGCGACGACGGGUAGCCGGCCUGAGAGGGUGACCGGCCACACUGGGACUGAGACACGGCCCAGACUCCUACGGGAGGCAGCAGUGGGGAAUAUUGCACAAUGGGCGCAAGCCUGAUGCAGCGACGCCGCGUGAGGGAUGACGGCCCUCGGGUUGUAAACCUCCUUCAGUAGGGAAGAAGCGAGAGUGACGGUACCUGCAGAAGAAGCGCCGGCUAACUACGUG
rnacentral:rRNA from 1 species